rnacentral:rRNA from 1 species
GAUGAACGCUGGCGGCGUGCCUAAUACAUGCAAGUCGAGCGAACAGACGAGGAGCUUGCUCCUCUGACGUUAGCGGCGGACGGGUGAGUAACACGUGGAUAACCUACCUAUAAGACUGGGAUAACUUCGGGAAACCGGAGCUAAUACCGGAUAAUAUAUUGAACCGCAUGGUUCAAUAGUGAAAGACGGUUUUGCUGUCACUUAUAGAUGGAUCCGCGCCGCAUUAGCUAGUUGGUAAGGUAACGGCUUACCAAGGCGACGAUGCGUAGCCGACCUGCGAGGGUGAUCGGCCACACUGGAACUGCGACACGGUCCAGACUCCUACAGGAGGCAGCAGUCGGGAAUAUUCCGCAAUGGGCGAACGCCUGACAGAGCAACGCCGCGUGAGUGAUGAAGGUCUUCGGAUCGUAAAACUCUGUUAUUAGGGAAGAACAAAUGUGUAAGUAACUAUGCACGUCUUGACGGUACCUAAUCAGAAAGCCACGGCUAACUACGUG